AUUGAACGCUGGCGGCAGGCCUAACACAUGCAAGUCGAACGGUAACAGGAAGAAGCUUGCUUCUUUGCUGACGAGUGGCGGACGGGUGAGUAAUGUCUGGGAAACUGCCUGAUGGAGGGGGAUAACUACUGGAAACGGUAGCUAAUACCGCAUAACGUCGCAAGACCCAAGAGGGGGACCUUCGGGCCUCUUGCCAUCGGAGGUGCCCAGAUGGGAUUAGCUAGUUGGUGGGGUAACGGCUCACCAAGGCGACGAUCCCUAGCUGGUCUGAGAGGAUGACCAGCCACACUGGAACUGAGACACGGUCCAGACUCCUACGGGAGGCAGCAGUGGGGAAUAUUGCACAAUGGGCGCAAGCCUGAUGCAGCCAUGCCGCGUGUAUGAAGAAGGCCUUCGGGUUGUAAAGUACUUUCAGCGGGGAGGAAGGGAGUAAAGUUAAUACCUUUGCUCAUUGACGUUACCCGCAGAAGAAGCACCGGCUAACUCCGUGCCAGCAGCCGCAGUAA
rnacentral:rRNA from 1 species